GUGCUUGCUUUGGCAGCACAUAUACUAAAAUUGGAACAAUACAGUGAAAAGUAGCAUGGCCCCUGCAUAAGGAUGACACAAAAAUUUGUUGUAAAUUGUUCCAUUAAA
rfam:Erinaceus europaeus unplaced genomic scaffold scaffold00521, whole genome shotgun sequence